rnacentral:rRNA from 1 species
UAACAAGAUUGUUCGCCAGAGAACUACUAGCCACAGCUUAAAACUCAAAGGACUUGGCGGUGCUUUAUAUCCCUCUAGAGGAGCCUGUUCUGUAAUCGAUAAACCCCGAUAAACCUCACCAACUCUUGCUAAUUCAGCCUAUAUACCGCCAUCUUCAGCAAACCCUUAAAAGGAAUUACAGUAAGCACAAGUACCCGCAUAAAAACGUUAGGUCAAGGUGUAGCUGAUGAGUUGGGAAGAAAUGGGCUACAUUUUCUAUUUCUAGAACACAUAUUUAUGAACGAAAACCUUUAUGAAACGAAAGGUUAAAGGAGGAUUUAGUAGUAAAUUAAGAAUAGAGCGCUUAAUUGAAUAAGGC